rnacentral:lncRNA from 1 species
CCGAGAAGAUUCUGGGAAACUGAUACCUUCAUCUAACUUCCUCAGUUCUUCUACGUACCUGCUUGGGGACAACUUGGAGGACAUCUUUGAAGACAUUGACACUUCCAUGUAUGAUAGCGACCCUUGGUCAAGUACAAACCUCUUAAACUUUAAGGCAUUUUCUAAUGUUGAUAAUUCAGAGGACACUUCUUUAGCAGAUGAACAUGGUGCUAUGCUAGAACUUAGUGAGUUGGAUUAUCUCAUGGAUGUUCUUGUAGGUUCCCAGAACUGCUAAUACCCCCUGCACAGUCUCUCAGGACAUAUGAAGUAUCUUGCAACAAGACACUAUUUGUGUGUAUAAAUGUGCUUCUCAUUAAUUUAUUUUGAGCAGGUGAACUGUUAUCUCGGCGAAGAUAUUUUCUCAACCUGACGAGAGCAAGUCAUGUAGGAAAAUUAAUUUGGGAAACUGCCUAUUAGUAUUAAGUAGUUUUGCUUUCAAAGAUGUUUAUGGUCUAGGCAUUGUUGUAGCAUCUCGUUUCCAGUAGAAUACUGAAAAUCAGGGCCUCCCAUGGCAGUAAAGAUUGGUUUUAUAUAAAAUCACUUCAAAAAAUAAAAUCUUCCUAAGGAAUAUUUCUCCUCUGAAUAAUAUUGUAUUAAUAAUGGAAGCCAUUGGGGCAGUUUGCCCCACAUACAUUGUACAUAAAGAAAUAUAUGAAAUUUCUAUAUUUUUUUAAAAUAAAAAAAUUUAAGAUUACAAUUUUGAAUCCACCUUAAAUGUUCAGUUUUUGUUACCUGAACUUGUAAACUGUCCUGAUUCAGGCUAUUUAUUGAAAUUUUUUUUUUUUUUUUUAAAUCUGUUUGAAACUAUUGGGGUAUUCACUAAAUGGCAACAACGUUGGAAUAACCAGGGAUUUGCAGGUUUUGGGAGAAAAUAAGCUGAGGGUUUGUUAACCUGGUUUCUAAAAACUCUUCAGCUUGCCUUUGUUCCAACCUAAAAUUCACAAAUCCCAGAACAGUGCCAUGGGUGUAACUGAAAUGCAUUAAAUCGCUUGCUUUAUGUGACACUUCAAAAGUUAUCUUCUCCUUUGCCAAAAAAGAAAAUUAACUCUGUAUAAAACUUCAUUUACCAAACCGUGAAUUCUGGUCAAUUCAUAGUGAAUUCACAAAACAAGUGCCAAUAUAAAUAAAAAUGGCACUUUACAACGUUCAGCAUACAUUUUGCACAUGGUUACCGCCUCUCCGGAGCUCAGUGUUUGAUUAAUAAAACCCCCUAAGAGUUUUCAGAUUUAAUACUGUAGCAGUGAGAAUUUUUUUAUUUAUUUUAAUUAGUUUUUUGUCCCCCCCCCUCUGUGUUUUGCUUGAUAGCCACUGCAAAGUGAGUACAUGGCUCACCAUACAGCCAACUCAGGCAAUCCCCCUGUAAAAAAACUGUAUUUUAAUUUAUUUUAAAACGUCUUAUCUCUCAGUAUCAAUCUGUUAGAUAUUCCACGAGGAAUCUCAAGGACUUUCAGAGAAAUCUGUUUUUCAUUCAUAUCUUAAAUGUUCACUUCAAAUCUGGGAUUAUAUUUAUUGAUUUGUUUUCUGUUUGUGCUGUAAUUCUGAAAUUAUUUCCUUUCCCUAUAUUUUUCUUUUCUCUUUUUUGUGAAUAUUUAUGAUUUGGAAUAAAAUGGAUUUUUGUAAC